CGGACGGGUGAGUAACGCGUGGAAAACCUGCCGUAUACUGGGGGAUAACACUUAGAAAUAGGUGCUAAUACCGCAUAAGCGCACAGCUUCGCAUGAAGCGGUGUGAAAAACUCUGGUGGUAUACGAUGGUUCCGCGUCUGAUUAGCUAGCUGGUGGGGUAAUGGCCUACCAAGGCAACGAUCAGUAGCCGGCCUGAGAGGGUGAACGGCCACAUUGGGACUGAGACACGGCCCAAACUCCUACGGAAGGCAGCAG
rnacentral:rRNA from 1 species